rnacentral:RNase_P_RNA from 1 species
GGAUAGGCGGCCGCUGCCGGUCCGGUUUGACCGGAAUCCGGUGGAGGAAAGUCCGAACACGACAGGACACGGUGGUGGAUAACGUCCACCGGCUCUCAAUCGUCGAGCCAGGGACAGUGCCACAGAAAGGAAACCGCCGGCGGUUCUUCGGAACCUCGGUAAGGGUGAAAGGGUGCGGUAAGAGCGCACCGCCCGGUCGGUGACGACCGGGGCAGGGUAAACCCCACCGCGUGCAAGCGCAAGCAGUCUUCUGUGAUCAGCGUGCUGAUCACGUCCGUAGUCCGCGGGUGAAGGCGGGUAGCGUGCUCGAGGCCAUCGGCAACGGUGGUCCCAGAUGAAUGGUCGCCACCUUCCGGCCUCGUCGACGACCGGGCUGGUAGGGACAGGAUUCGGCUUAUUUC